AUGGGGAAAUCUAUCAUCUGAUUAGUUUUCUCAACUUAUCUGCUUGUUCUGUUUGUUCUUUUAUUUCAGUAUAUCUGUCUUUUCUAUGGCAUUUUUACCUUUUGUCAAAUGAAAGCAAACUGAACUGAAACUGUGGAGAAUAUCUGAGAAAAUGAAAAACAAGAGAGUAGCACAACUAACAUGAUGUACUUUUAUGACUGGUUCUCUAAUUAGGAGGUACAGAGACUUCAAGGUCACCAUGAUAAUGGCACAUAUUGAUACGGCUAUUCCAUAGAAUUGGAGUAUUUUGGAAUGAGAAGUCACCACCUGGAGGAAAGGUCUCUUAGAGAAUUGCCUGGACUCACAGUUAGUGGGUUGAGUGGUGGUGUGUUCUUCUGCAAUCAGUGAGGGUCUGGGCCACUGAAGACCCCAUCUUGAUGCGGGCUUCUGCAAUAGCCAAGGUGGAUAAAGGAGACCUAGUGCCUCUUCCACUGUCUCUUAAAUCUUCUCUCCAGGAGAGACAUACAUCCUUUUGCUCACGUUUCAAGUCAUAUGAUCACACCUAACUUCAAUGUGCAGGGAAAUAUAAUCCUGCUGUGUCUGAACAGGAGGAAAUCUGAAGUUUUUGCUAAAGAGCUUGCUCUUCAGGUCACCAAGCAUUCAGUUCAUUCUUCUUCAAAGGUUUUAUUCUUGGAUUGGACUAAAAUUCUGCUUUCCCCAUUUCUGCACAAAGUAGGAGACUUUAAAAAAACAAUAUAUAAGAAACACUGAGGAGGAAAAGGGCCUGGCCCGUGGCAGAGUGGGUCCAGUCCUGUGAGCUUCACCUUGGCUGCCCAAGUUCCCGGAGUGGAUCCCAGGUGUGGACCUACACCACUCACCAGCCAUGCUGCGCAUAUAAAGUAGAGGAAGAUUGGCACAGGUGUUAGCGCAGGGUGAAUCUUCCUCAAGCGAAAAAAGAGGAAGAUUGGCAAUGGAUGUUAGCCCAGGGUGAAUCUUCUUCAGCAAAAAAAAAAAAAAGUAUAAAACUUUCCAUUUUUAGGUAAAUUCUAUUUUGUCAAAUAUUAAGUAUGCUAUGCUCUUUAUUGUUGUUUUUGUUCAUAUUCAUACUGAGGUUUUUUUUAUUAUUUUAAUUUCAACUGUUUUUAGUCUUAGUUAAUGUAGUAGAAAUCAUGUUAUCUAUGCUCUCAAAUAGCCAUAUUCUACAGGUUGAUUACUUGUUAAUGGUGUAAUUUGUCUUCCUAUUCCUUGCAUUUCCUAGGAAUUGGUAUUUUGAUUUUGAGUGUUAAGUUAACUGAGUCAAGUUGAUUUUAGGUAUUAUUGGAAAAUAUAUAUAUUCUUUAGCUUGUAAUCCUUGAAAUUUGAAUAUUCAGAAGAGCAGAGGAUAGGAGAUAGUUGAUUUCCCACACACGUUUUCAUCAACUACUUUCCCCAGGAGGAUCUUAGCACUGCUUUGGUGUUAUACAUCUCAUUCCCCAUGAUGAGGGCUAUUGCUGCUUAUUUCCAUCUUAUAAUCCAAGUGGGGAAGACAGUGUCCUUUCCAAGAGCAGAAAUUUAAUGUCUCUUCCAAUAUAUCGUCUUUCUGAUAAGCCCAUCGCCAAGCAUCCCUAGCUGCAGGUACAUACCCCUCCUUUUAUACCAGUUCAGAGAACUUUAGUUUUUACAAGUGCUUCUCACAGUUAUUUGUAGUUCCUUAGUUUCAUGCUUAGCUAUCUUUUGUAUAGUUUCUACAGAACAAAUUAUGGUGAAAAGAGCCAUCAGUCUAAGCCAGCUCAUAUCUCUCCAGGAAGUAAGAGUACCUACCUAAAUUUAAUUUCAGGAUGGUCUCUUCAUCAGCAUCUUUUGUAGAUUCAAUCUUUUGUGUACAUAUGGGAGCUAUAUAUAUAUAUAGCUUUUAGCUAUAUAAAACGUGAAUUUUUUUAAGUGUUAGUAGGCGUUACCUUAAAUGUUGUCAAAGGUAGGUUGUAAAUUAAUUCAAGAAACAACCAUCUUUGAAGAAAUCAAUAAUUAACAUUAUCCUAAUUAAAUGUGUAAACACAUGUAAGUGUAUCUAUAAAACUUGCAGUAACUUGUGAAUAGAAGCAUAACAGAUAACAAAUUAUGCACUAAUAAUAGUUAUAAAAUUUUUGUUCUUUAAAAAUCCCACUCUGUUGGGUUAAUCAGGUAAAGCAUUCUCCAGACAUAAGAACACAUUUUUGUAAAUAUCUCAUGAAGUAAGAAGGAAAACAGUUUUCUCUUCAAAUAGAUAUUUAAUCAGCUUUAAUUUUAAUUAUAUCUAUAAAUCCAAGCUAUUUUUGCCUUGUAGGAUUAUUGUCCUUUUCUUUAGAAACCACAGUAUUGAUUGAAGUGAUAGAGAUUAUAAAAGGUAAUACAAUGAACCCUUAUAUAUUUGCAGUUUAUGACCUUUAUAUAGUCCAAAAUUUUAUUCUACUUGAUGUAAUGAAUGAAUCUUGAUUCUUAAAUGUUUUAUUUGCCAUUUUAUACAGAUUAAACAGGAAGAAAAUAGAAACUUUACAAAUGCACUACGGUUCAUCAAUACAUUCCAACCUCAAACCAUUUGUUCACCAUUCUAUACUAUUUAUGUCUUUCCUCUUAUCUAUAAAUCAAAAUAACAGAAAAACAUCAACUUUCACCACAUUAUAUGUCAAUUUUAUUCAAGAGACACAGAUUCAUAUAAAAACGUGCCAAAGCUGCAAUUAAAAAUUGGACCAAUGUUGUUCAUUUAAUUUAUCUUUGCUCACUGACUUUAUUGUAAGAUGAUACUUUAGGAUAUAUA